rnacentral:rRNA from 1 species
GCAGCAGCCGCGGUAAUACGUAGGGUGCAAGCGUUAAUCGGAAUUACUGGGCGUAAAGCGUGCGCAGGCGGUUAUAUAAGACAGAUGUGAAAUCCCCGGGCUCAACCUGGGAACUGCAUUUGUGACUGUAUAGCUAGAGUACGGCAGAGGGGGAUGGAAUUCCGCGUGUAGCAGUGAAAUGCGUAGAUAUGCGGAGGAACACCGAUGGCGAAGGCAAUCCCCUGGGCCUGUACUGACGCUCAUGCACGAAAGCGUGGGGAGCAAACAGGAUUAGAUACCCCUGUAGUCCCUGUCUCUUAUAC